rnacentral:rRNA from 1 species
UACGGGGGGGGCAAGCGUUGUUCGGAAUUACUGGGCGUAAAGCGCACGUAGGCGGCUUUGUAAGUUAGAGGUGAAAGCCCGGGGCUCAACUCCGGAAUUGCCUUAAGACUGCAUCGCUAGAAUUGUGGAGAGGUAAGUGGAAUUCCGAGUGUAGAGGUGAAAUUCGUAGAUAUUCGGAAGAACACCAGUGGCGAAGGCGGACUUACUGGACACAUAUUGACGCUGAGGUGCGAAAGCGUGGGGAGCAAACAGGG